CAGGAAGCCAGGAAGGAGGCUGGCAGAGUUCUCUGCAGCAGACCCUCUGCCCAGACCAUCCAGCACAGCUUUUGCAAGGUCUGAGUGAGAACUGCGACGCAUGUGCAACAGGCAGACAGCAACAGAGACUAUUCCUGUGGGACAAGGAAAACUGGAUGGCUGGGCAAGAACAACAAGAGCCAAAAUGUACAUGGCAUUAAAUGUGUGAUAUAACACAUUUGCUAUCACACAUUUCCUCUUGAGUGAGCUUCCAAGGAGAAGGAAGGGAAUAUUUUCUGUAAUACACCACCCAUCCCAGAACGGCUUUACAUCCAUAGUUAGACUGUCCAUUGGCACAACCAAACAUUUAGGUCAUUUGCUAUGAGGAAAUGACGAGAAAGGCAAAAAUCCACAUUCUGCUCAGCCAUUCAAGGACAUGAUGCUCAUCAAAACUUCCCAAGCAAGACUAUGAGAUUCUUCAGUCCUAUGAAUGUAUGUUUCAGUUGUUUGACAUAUAUGGGCACUCUCGGGUCUGUGCAUGAGCCAAAAAGAAAGAAAGAAAGAAGACUUUUCAUU